CUUUCUUGCUUUUUCUUUUUCUUCUUCUUCUCUUCUCUUUCUUUCUUCUUCUUCUUGGAGAAGGAGAAAGACGCGAGGCAGAGAUGCGGGAAGUAGA
rnacentral:ribozyme from 13 species